rnacentral:rRNA from 1 species
UUGAAAAGAGAGUUAAACAGUAUGUGAAAUUGUUGAAAGGGAACCGUUUGGAGCCAGACCGGCUGCUCUAUAAUCAAUCUCUGCUUUCGGGUAGGGAUGCACUUGUAGGGCUUUAGCCUGCCAACAGCAAUUUUGUUUGGUGGAAAAAACUGAGAGGAAUGUGGCCCCUCGGGGUGUUAUAGCCUCUUUGAAAAUACACUGAACGGGAUUGAGGACUGCAGCAAAUGCUCUCGGGCGAAAUAACUGGGCGCUUGCGUUAAGGAUAGUAUAGAAUUUCUGCUUCGGGUGGUGCUAUGCUCCAAGAUGCAACUCGCUUAGACUAUUUUCUAUUUGCUUAGGUUGUUGGCUUAAUGACUCUAAAUGACCCGUCUUGAAACACGGACCAAGA